UUUGACGAUAUCAUGCUCAGAAGUCAGAUCGUAAUGUGUCGAUGGUUGAUUUCUCUGGUCUUGUUCUAUGACUCUCAAAAAUUGCACACGCAACGGAGUGGGGAGACUUUUUUCUGCUGGCUUCCAACAUAGUUCGUGCUACUUGAUGAAAUAACGAGCAAAGUGCUGGAACUGUACGUUCUCUGUGAUACCUUUGUUGGGACCAGUUUAGAAAUAUGGGCUUCGUUACCCUUGAAACGAAAACAAGAGCCACUUUUUUUGCGAAACUGGCAGUUGUUGACUACGCUGUGGACGAAGACUGGUUUCAUUUAAUGGUGUAAUACGUGAGUUAUUUGGAGUUUAAAAUGUGUGAGAUGGUGGGUUUAUCGAAAGCCUCGUUGUCCAGGAGAACAAGAUGGCAGCAUUGCAGGCAGACUGAGCAUGGUAUCUAGCGAGGGAAGAAUGUGCUGUCUAUUCUGCUGGUCAAGUGACAGUUCUCAACUGCUGCUGUUCAUUUCAUGGCAACGUUUGCAAAUAACAAAUAAUAGAUACACUUAUUCAUGAUAUACUUCUGCCAGGUAUGGCCUCAAAAAUGUUGGUGUACCCACCACAUCUUUAUCAAACACAAACGAGUGCCUUUUGCAGUGUGAAGAAACAGAGUUGAGCUCAACAGCUGUUUUUUUUUAUGAUUGGAGCCUGUCGACCUAUAUAAUUGGAAUACAUUUUGGCAUUGCCCAGCCUACCAAUAUCCUCCAUUUAAGACAAACUUCAAC